GAUGAACGCUAGCUACAGGCUUAACACAUGCAAGUCGAGGGGUAACGAGAGGAAAGCUUGCUUUCCUUGUCGACGACCGGCGCACGGGUGAGUAACGCGUAUCCAACCUGCCCCCAACUAGGGAAUAACCUUGCGAAAGUAAGACUAAUACCCUAUAAUUUCCUCAGAUGUCAUCUGACGAGGAAUAAAGAUUUAUCGGUUGUGGAUGGGGAUGCGUCUGAUUAGCUUGUUGGCGGGGUAACGGCCCACCAAGGCAACGAUCAGUAGGGGUUGUGAGAGUAAGGUCCCCCACAUUAGAACUGAGACACGGUCCAAACUCCUACGGGAGGCAGCAGUGAGGAAUAUUGGUCAAUGGGCGGAAGCCUGAACCAGCCAAGUAGCGUGCAGGAUGACGGCCCUAUGGGUUGUAAACUGCUUUUAUACAGGAAUAAAGUUAGCCACGUGUGGUUAUUUGUAGGUACUGUAUGAAUAAGGACCGGCUAAUUCCGUGCCAGCAGCCGCCGUAA
rnacentral:rRNA from 1 species